rnacentral:lncRNA from 1 species
UGAGGCAAGUAACUCUGAUCUAUUUCCGAGUUGAGCAGAGAUUUCCAGGCUGUCUCUUUCUUAUGGCUGCUUAAUCUUUUGUUUUGGAAAGGAACAGGAUCGCUAUUAUGUUCUUUUGAGAGGAUCAUGCAUCCUUGCGUGCCAAGGCCUGGCUCUUGAGAAGUGGCAUCCUAAUUUCGAACCAAAAGAAAAUGCCAUUUUCUCAUAUUGCCUUUGAUCACUACUCCAUCUUUUUAUGACC